UCUUUAUUUCACACACUCUCUCAUCGGUCAGAGUGACGAGUGAGAGAGUGUGCAAAAUGAGGAGA
rnacentral:pre_miRNA from 1 species